rnacentral:rRNA from 1 species
AACGAACGCUGGCGGCAUGCCUAACACAUGCAAGUCGAACGCGUGUAGCAAUACAUGAGUGGCGGACGGGUGAGUAACGCGUGGGAACCUGCCCAGUGGUAGGGAAUAACUGCGGGAAACUGCAGCUAAUACCCUAUACGCCCUUUGGGGGAAAGAUUCAUCGCCAUUGGAGGGGCCCGCGUCGGAUUAGCUAGUUGGCGGGGUAACGGCCCACCAAGGCAACGAUCCGUAGCUGGCUGAGAGGAUGAUCAGCCACACUGGGACUUAGACACGGCCCAGACUCCUACGGGAGGCAGCAGUGGGGAAUAUUGGACAAGUGGGGCAACCCUGAUCCAGCAAUGCCGCGUGAGUGAUGAAGG